AAGGGCUUAGUUUAAUUAAAGCGGUUGAUUUGCGUUCAGUUGAUGUAAGAUAAGAUCUUGCAGUCCUUA
rnacentral:tRNA from 1 species